rnacentral:rRNA from 1 species
UACGUAGGGUGCAAGCGUUGUCCGGAAUUAUUGGGCGUAAAGGGCUCGUAGGCGGUCCAUCGCGUCGGGAGUGAAAAGCUGGGGCUCAACCCCAGUCCUGCUUCCGAUACGGGUGGACUAGAGGUAGGCAGGGGAGAACGGAAUUCCUGGUGUAGCGGUGAAAUGCGCAGAUAUCAGGAGGAACACCGGUGGCGAAGGCGGUUCUCUGGGCCUGUUCUGACGCUGAGGCGCGAAAGCUAGGGGAGCGAACAGG